rnacentral:lncRNA from 1 species
GGAAUGGCCCGGCAGCCGCAGUCGGAGCAUCCCUGGCUGCGGCGGCGCUGCUCCCGCUGCCCAUCCCGGCGCUCCCGGCGAUAUUCCCGGAGGGAGCGGGGCGAUAACCGGAGCCCCGGAGCGGGCUGAGGCCCUGCCGAAGGAGGAUGAGGAGGAUGCCGCUCGGCGCACCGGGGGAGCCGCAGCCCCGGGAGGCGCCGGGCGCUGCCGGCGGAGCUGGAGGUUUCGGCAUUCCUGCAGGGACAGCGCCCAUCGGCCCAGGAGCUGCUGGAACCUCCUUGUGCCAGCGGUGGGGACACCAGGACAGGAGUGGCACUUGUCCCCUCUGCCAGGGAAAGGCUCCCGAGCCAGGAUUUGGCCCUGGAUGGUUCCUCCACGCCGGGAUCCCAAGCCCUGAGCCUCGCCUGGCGUUUGGAUGCUCCCUUCUGUCUGCAGCUGGCAAUGGCACGGCCGUGCCUCCUGCUCCUCCCAAAUCCCGUGGAUUUACUGCUUUUGGCACCAUCCUGCUGGCACAGGGAAUCUCCCGAGGGACAGGUGGGGACAAGCAGCACUUACUACAGCCUGAGGCUACAAUUCCCUCUUUUUCUGGGCUACUCUGAGCAUCCUGGCUCUGCAGGAGGAAGGAUUCAAUGCACUCCCAGAGGACAAAUCCCGCUGCUCUGAUGGCCCGUGCUGAAGGCUCGGGGCGAGGGACAGAGGGACAGCCAGCAGCAGCUCCCGAGGACAGGACAGACGCUGCAGCUGGAGCUCGGGGCCAGCAGGGACCAGCAGGGACCAGCAGGGACCAGCAGCUCCCCUGGGCAGCGAUGGAACAUCUGGGCUGGGAGAGGCUCUUCCCUGAGCUCCAAAAGCAAAGCCAGCUCCACAUCUGCUCCUCCCCAGCCUGGCUGGGCUGCACAUCCCUGCAGGAGCUGAGCUCCUCCCACCUGCAACUGACGGGACUCAUGAGCAAUUUUCUGCUGGGCUUUGGGAAUUAUCCUUUUGGAUCCUGCCGAUGGAUGGAUGGAUGGAUGGUGAAGAGCUCUUGGGUCGAGCAGGAGCUCAGUGCUGUUCUCUGGCAAGGACCAAGCGCUUGCCUGGUUCCCAGUGGAUUUUUUUUGUCUUUAUUUCCUUCUGCUCUUUUUUUUUUUUUUUCUGCUGCUUUUUGGGGCUUUGGGUGUUUCCUGAGGAUGCUGGAGCUGCAGUGGAUCCUGUGGUGGGAGCUGGAGCCUUUGGAAGACCAGGAGCUGAGCUGGUGCUGGGCUUUCAGACUGGCAGAGGCUCAUCCUGUGCUGGGUGGCCUCAGGAGGGUCCUUCUGCCACAGCUGGAGCAUCCCAGUGGAUCCCAGUCCAGGUGGGACCAUGGAGCAGGAGCAGGAACGGGGGGAAGCCAAACCCCCCCAGCGAGGGGAAUGUCACAGUGAGGGGAGUGUCACCCUCAGAGACAAUUAAAUUGCAUUUAAUAAACCCCAUUUGCUCUGUGAGUGCUGGAUGUUG